rnacentral:rRNA from 1 species
GUGUCAGCCGCCGCGGUAACACCAGCCCCUCGAGUGGUGGGGACGUUUAUUUGGCCUAAAGCGUCCGUAGCCGGCCGGGUAAGUCUCCCGUUAAAUCCAGCGUCUCAAGCGUUGGGCUGCGGGAGAUACUGUCCGGCUAGAGAGUGGGAGAGGUCAGCGGUAUUCCUGGGGUAGGGGCGAAAUCCUUUGAUCCCAGGAGGACCACCAGUGGCGAAGGCUGCUGACUAGAACACGUCUGACGGUCAGGGACGAAAGCUGGGGUAGCGAACCGGAUUAGAUACCCGGGUAGUCCCAGCCGUAAACGAUGCAUGCUAGGUGUUGGGUUGGCCACGAGCCACCCCAGUGCCGCAGGGAAGCCGUUAAGCAUGCCGCCUGGGGAGUACGGUCGCAAGACUGAAACUUAAAGGAAUUGACGGGG